CCAAUCCACCGGAGCCUGACCUUCUGACCGCCGAGCGUUGCAUCAAUGCAGCGAGUACUUCCGCACCGGCUUAAAGCGACAGGAGCCACACACUAAGAAGUCCGGUCAAACUUCCGCUUUGAUAAAAUAAAAUGUCGACUGGAAACACGUUCCUUACGUUUAGCUGAAGUUCCAAGGUAGGGUCAGCUUUUUCUUUUCAAUGUUAUAUUAUUGUGUCUUCAUCUAUACUUUAUUUUUCUUGGAAUCUUAGCCUCCUCCCAACUUCUUAACUUUUUCAUAUUACAAAAACUCCAACACUGGUCAUAAAAAUUUAAACGUAAAAACAUUUUUAAAAAAAACCUCUCCUCAGCCAUCAAAAUAACUUGUGUAAAUACAUCCCCAUUAACCCCACAAGCAGCAGCUACUUUGGGCUUCAACGUUAUCACAGAAGUUACCUCUAAGUGUUUGAUUAGGUAAGUUUGUAGCUGCAACAGUUAAUUAAAACAAUCAGCAAUUCACAAACCAGAGGCCAUAAAGAAACCAAUAAA